rnacentral:lncRNA from 1 species
GCUUUGUUCAAUCUGUUCAUUAUGUCAUUUCCUGCACCACCAUCGUUUCUUAUUGUACUUCCUAGGUAUGUAAAUGUUUCUGUGAUGGGGAGAUCUUUUCCAUCUACUAGGAUAGGAGUUGGGUUAUUGAUGUUUAGCGUCAUGACUUCAGUUUUGGUUUGGCUGAUUUUAAGUCCAACUUGACUAGCAAAAGUAUUAAGGCGGUUUGUCUUCUCUUGUAAAUGGUGGUGGGUAUGCGAUAAAAGAGCAAGAUCAUCAGCAAAAUCAAGAUCCUCCAAUGUUGCUGAAAGG